rnacentral:rRNA from 1 species
UACGUAGGGUGCAAGCGUUGUCCGGAAUUAUUGGGCGUAAAGAGCUCGUAGGCGGUUAGUCGCGUCUGCUGUGAAAACUCGGGGCUUAACUCCGGGCCUGCAGUGGGUACGGGCUGACUAGAGUGCGGUAGGGGAGACUGGAAUUCCUGGUGUAGCGGUGAAAUGCGCAGAUAUCAGGAGGAACACCGGUGGCGAAGGCAGCCCCCUGGGCUGACACUGACGCUCAGGCACGAAAGCGUGGGGAGCAAACAGG